ACUUNCNAGGCUUGACNUGGAUUAGAUCGCCGCAGAGAUGUGGUUUCCCUUCGGGGCUGGUUCACAGGUGGUGCAUGGUUGUCGUCAGCUCGUGUCGUGAGAUGUUGGGUUAAGUCCCGCAACGAGCGCAACCCUCGUUCCAUGUUGCCAGCGGGUUAUGCCGGGGACUCAUGGGAGACUGCCGGGGUCAACUCGGAGGAAGGUGGGGACGACGUCAAAUCAUCAUGCCCCUUAUGUCUUGGGCUUCACGCAUGCUACAAUGGCCGGUACAAAGGGUUGCGAUACUGUGAGGUGGAGCUAAUCCCAAAAAGCCGGUCUCAGUUCGGAUUGGGGUCUGCAACUCGACCCCAUGAAGUCGGAGUCGCUAGUAAUCGCAGAUCAGCAACGCUGCGGUGAAUACGUUCCCGGGAA
rnacentral:rRNA from 1 species